UUUUUAUUUUGUGCUUUAGAGGCAGACCAGAAAGAUGAUGAUGAAGAUGAAUUAAAGAAGAAUAAGAUUGAGAAUGUUGAUGGAGGAGAAAAGCUUUCAAUUGUACGACUUGAUGAUUUGGUUGGCAUGAUAAUAAAAACUACAAUUAAGGAGCAUUACGUGAUUAUUGAACCAGCGCUACCAGCCAUUAAUGGUGGAAGAUUCUGCAAUUGUUAUGAAAGAAAAGAGAUAAGCUUGCUAGGGGUCUUAAGCUUUCUCUUUUCUGAAACAAGCAAUUUUAUGUGCAGUUGAGAUCCCUCAGGCACACACUUGCGCAUAUGCUGAGGGAUAAUUAAACCCUAAACUAAAAAUCUAGCAUUUCCACUGAUUCGAUCGGGGUCCAUCCAACUUUCAGGAAGCACUACAUGAUUAUAGAACCAGCGUUACCAGACGUAUAUUACAGUGGUUUAGUAAUUUUGCUGGUACAGGUGAAUCUGAGCAUAGAAAAUGUGCUAGGACGAUAUCUCAAAUUUCCCAUAUAUAUUAAAGGUGUUGAAAUGGGACACAAAUUCUUUUCACGUGCCAGAAUUAUUGUCGUGGGCCUUCACAGCCAUUGGUUAAAUGAAUUUGAUUAUAUGGGUGAAAAAUUCAGAAUGCAUUUUAAAUUUUGGCUAGUCACUUUUUUGCAUAUCCAUGAUGUAGUGGAUAUAAUAUGUAACUAAACCUUGCUUUAGAACAUCCUAGCAAAUUAUAAAGCUUUGCUAAUCAAUUAUUGGGCACAUGCACAAUAUAAGAACUACACCGUCUACCCCAAUGCAGUUUCAAUUAUGUUGUCAAAACUCAGGAGAAUAUAAAGAUGAUGGAAAUAGUCAUGAUGUACUUAUAAUGGACAAGGGUGUAAUGAAAUACUAGGCAAUAAAUGUCAAAAGGCUGAUCAAGAAAUGAAAUGCGGCAAUUUGGCUCUCAGGGUCAGUGAUUUUCUCUUUUAACAAAACGAAGAUCUAACUCUUAUUUUUCAUGUUUCUUUUCUGUUUUACAUCGUAAAAAAUGUUGUUGUAAUUCUCCUGUUUGUACUGCAAAAUAAUAUAAAGCAGAAAAUUGCUGUCAGUCAUUCGGGAGAGAAUUGUCGUGGUAGUUACUGCAGGAAGGUGUAUACCUUCGAUGGGCUCUAUAAUGUGGGUACUUCAGACUUAACAUUGAAUCACCUUUACAUACUCUUAUACACUCAUCAAUGCUUGAUAUGGAUUUGCUACUGAUAUUUUUUUUUUUUUGUAAUACACUCUGAAAAAGACGAGAAGGUUUUGUUUAGAUGUUGAACUGACUAUUGAUUAUUGAUUCGAAACAGGUAUGACUAAAUACAUCCGAGGUAUCUUUUUUCUUCUUCAAAUUUUGGUCUUUUGGAAUUUUAUUGAAUUGCCAGGCAAAUAAUCAUGGUUUGUUCAAUCUGUUUGGCUUCUAGCUAUGGUUUCUCUCACUUUUGAAAUCCAGUACUAGCUUUUUGUUUCAGUGAACCAUGUUUUCCUAAUUAUAUUUUGGUUUUGAGAUACUAUGCAUGUAUUGUGUUAUGCAUAAUGUUGCAGAGUUGAUGGACAUUGGGAUACAAAUUUUGUAAAUUUGGUUCAACCAAUAGCCUAAUUUUGAUUCAUUCGGGUAGAUUUUAAAUUGUGGGCAGCAUUAGUUGUCGAUAUUUUAGUAUAAAAUCUUUGCAAGGAGUCUAAUUAUUUUUUUGAAAGCAUUGUAUUUUGCUGCUUUUGCAGAAAAAGAGGAUACUAUAGAGAGAUAAGAGCAAGAUGUGCCACUUGAUAAGGAUGAGGAUAUUGCAACUGCAAUUUUAAUGGUUGUGAAGCAUUAAAUUGGAGUUGGUGCUCAAACUGCAUGAACAUUGAAGGCUAUGUGAGUUAACAAAAAAAGUGUACAUUGUUGUCUUUUUAAGAGGUUGAUAUGGGAGAGGUGAAAUACUAACAGUAAGACCCAAUCAGAGUGAAAGAUGGACGACAAAAUCAUCUGCACCACUACAAUAAGUAUGCGUCCGCAUAGAUUCAAAUUUCUUCGGCAGUGCCUUAUACAGGUUCUUAGUGCACUUGGCUGGAUUUCACUAAGCAAUUUUUCUGCCUUGAUCUAUUGGCCUUCCGUCAGUUGAUGCAAAUAUGUUUAGCGCCAAAAGUGAUAAUCCAUUUUAUUGGAUAUUUGUUUUUGUUGACCGAGGGAG